AUCGAAUGGGAAUAAAAUGCAGGUAUCACUUGAAGUGAAAAGCUUGAUUUAACGGCAUUUCAGACGAAGUGAAACGGGUUGAAAUAGGUAGAAUUUACUUGGUUCCCUGCCAAAAUCCUGCCAAACUUUAGA
rnacentral:sRNA from 1 species